rnacentral:rRNA from 1 species
AUGGGAAAGUCUCCCGACACCACACCAGCCGCCCUACCCCCUACCCCCUCCUCCUAUGUCUCCUCCAUCAAAACACAUGUUCCUAUCACCCUCGAUCUUCAGGAUUCCUACUAUGCAAAGUGGCGCGAGCUGUUUCUCGUCGCCCUCGGACGCUACGGCCUCUCCAACCACGUCGUCGGCGACGCUACCGCCACCCCGUCCGACACCUCGCCCACCUCUGAUUGGGGUCGUGACGACUACACGGUGCUCUCCUGGAUCUACGGUUCGAUCUCCACCGAGCUCUUCGGCAUCAUCAUGGCUCCCGGUUCCACGGCGCGGCAGAUUUGGGACUCCAUCGCCAACCUCUUCCACGACAACAAGAAAAGCCGUGCCCUCGCUCUCGAUGCUGAGUUCCGCAACACGGCACAAGGAGACAUGUCCGUCCACGACUACUGCGCCAAGCUCAAGUCCCUUGCCGACGCUCUCGGCGAUGUCGGCCACACUAUCUCCGACGAGACGCUCGUCCUCACGGUGCUUCACGGCCUUAAUGAGCAAUUCAGCCAUCUUCGCUCUUUUCUUCCGUUUCAGGUGCCGUUUCCGUCGUUCCUGCAGACACGCUCGGCUCUCGUCCUUGAGGAGACGCAGAAAAAGACCGACGCGAAAAACGCCGCAGCCACUGCGCUUUGGGCAUCGGGCAACAGCAUCCUGCCGAGCGCGGGCGGCGAACGCGCUCUACCGUCCGGGGGCGGACGCGGCUCUAGCGACCAGCGCUCCUUCAGCUCGUCUAACACGAGCGGCGGUCGCGGCAACUUCACCAACACUCGCGGCCAGCGGCCGUGGACGGGGCCGCACCGAGCCAUGGAUGUUCAAUCCCUGGACCGGCCUCCCGACGCGCGCGCAGCUUCAACAACAACCUCCUCCUGCGCCCUGGCAGCCACGACCCUGGCGUGCACCUGGCGUUCUUGGUCCUCGACCUGGUGCUGCCCUUCCGCAGGCGUACGCAGCCUACGGCCCUGGUGCGCAGCCCCACGGCAUCCUUCCGUCUCCGUCGACUCCAGUAUACAACGGACAUCAACAGCACAUUGA